CCUUGAACUUUCCAUCUCAGGUCGGCCACUACUACUAGUACUCCAUUCAUGGCUAGCUUCUAUUAUAUAUACAUACAGAUCACCUCAGGAUAUCCUCAUUGUUCUUCUCAUUAUCUAAGCCCGCAAAUUACCAAUAUUCCCUUCCACAUUUAAGCUUCUAAAUCUCUUGAAUUGCAUUCAUGGCCACCCAAACACCCUCUUCAUCUACUUCAGAAGUUAGUAAGAAAAGAAAAAGAAGACCCACUUCAUCUACUUCUGAACUUGGUAAGAAAAGAAAAGGAGAUGAUUCAUCUCCGCCUCGAUGGAAAUAUGAAGUUUUCCUUAGUUUCUAUGGCAAAGACACUCGUAAGAGUUUUACGGAUCAUCUAUAUGUUGAUUUAAAACGGAAAGGCAUUCUCGUCUUUAGGGAUGAUGAAACACUCCAGCGAGGAGAAUACAUUUCUAAAGCGCUUCUGAAAGCAAUUCGAGAAUCACAAUACGCGAUCGUCAUUUUCUCUGCAAAUUAUGCUUUUUCCAAAUGGUGCCUCAUGGAACUUGCUGAGAUAGUUGAAUGGGAGGAAAAGAAAAGGCUCACAGUUCUUCCUAUUUUCUACCAUGUGGAUCCUUGUGACGUGAGAAAUCAGAGUGGGUCUUUUGCAGAAGCGUUCACUGCACAUGAAAAAGAUCCCAAGAUAGACAAGAAAGAUACGGAUAUGUGGAAAAAUGCUUUGAGAAAAGCCGGCAGUAUCGCCGGAUGGCACAUACACGACAGGUAUGAAUCAACAAUUAUACAAGAAAUCAGCGGACGUCUAUCUCGUGAGUUAAAUUCCAAAUUCUCACGUCAUGAUUAUGAUAAACUUGUUGCAAUAGACUCCCAUGUAGACAAAAUGAUGGAGUUACUGGAUAUGGAAUCGGAUGAUGUUCGCUUCGUAGGAAUUCAUGGGAUGGGUGGCGUUGGUAAGACAACGCUGGCCGAAAUAAUUUAUGAUAGAGUUUCUUCUGAUUGUCGAUUUGAAGGAAGCAGCUUUAUUUCUCGUGUUAGAGAAAAAUCUGCUACUGCUCGUGAUCUAGCUUCUUUACAAAAAGAACUUCUUUCUAUGAUCAUGCAAGAAGAAAUACCUAUAUGGGAUCAUCACGAGGGAAUUAGGAUGAUAAAGAAGAUACUGCAGAAUAAAAAAGUUUUUAUCGUCCUUGAUGAUGUGGAUAGCGACGAGCAACUAACGGCAUUAGCAGGGGAUCGGAAAUGGUUUGGUCCAGGGAGUAGGGUGAUUAUAACUAGCAGAGAUAGUCAUCUAUUGAGAACACAUGAAGUGAAGCAUACCUAUAAGGUUAAGCAGCUUGAAACAACAAAAGCUUUGCAACUCUUUAGUUUGUCAGCCUUCAAGAAAACCCAUCCAAUAGAGGAUUACAAGGAUCUAUCUAUGGAUUUUGUAAAUUAUGCUCAAGGCCUUCCUUUAGCUCUUAAAGUUUUGGGUUCCUUCUUAUAUGAGAGAGAAAUAGAUGCAUGGAAAAGUGAGAAAGAUAAACUAAAAGCAAUUCCUAAUCCAAAAAUUAUGGAUGUACUUCAAAUAAGUUUUGAUGGGCUGCAGAAAUUGCAAAAAGAGUUAUUUCUGGAUCUGGCGUGUUUGUUCCAGAAGUCCCUCGUAAGUUACGAGAUGUUAGAAAGUUGUGGUUAUUAUCGCAUCGACAUUGAAGUUCUCAUUGAGAAGUCCCUCAUAAGCAAAUCAAAAUAUGGAUGGUGUAAGGAUUUGUCCAUGCAUGAUUUGCUAAAAGAAAUGGGCCAGGAAUUAGUUCGCUGUGAAUGCCCUCAAGUACCUGGACAACGUAGUAGACUGUUUCAUGUGGAGGAUCUCUAUCAAGUACUGAAGAAUGAUACUGGAACUGAUGCAAUUAAAGGCAUAGUCAUGGAUUUUUGUCCUAAAACGAAACAGAGACUCAACGCCGAAGCAUUGUCAAAAAUGAGAAAAUUGAGAUUUUUUAAAUUCCAUCAUUCUCAAAAUAUAAAAUGGCAUGGAAACCCUUUAAAAUACAUGCCAACCAAUGAGUUGCAAUUCCUAGAGUGGUCUGGAUAUCAUUUGAAAUCCUUGCCGAGCAGUUUCCAACCAAAAAAUCUUACUGUACUAAGGAUGUCUCGCAGCCACAUCAAACAACUAUGGAAGGGACCGAUGGAUUUAGACAAUUUGAAGGAAUUUGAUCUGAGUUAUUCUGAGAACUUGAUUGAAACACCAGAUUUGACAGGAGCCCCAAAUCUUGAGAACAUAAACCUGAAAGGUUGUAAAAACUUGUGUGAGGUCCACCCAUCCAUCGGAAGUCUCAAACGAUUAAAACAAUUGGCACUUUACGAAUGUUCAAGCCUUGAGAAGUUGCCAGACCUGAGUAAGUUGGAAUGCCUGACAAAUUUGUGGGUAAAGGAAACUGCUAUAACACAAAUACCAUCUGUCAAUCUACUCCCCAAGAGCAUGAGUCUUUUUACUUUUGAAGGACGCGAGUUGAUGAGAGAUUCCACCUAUGAUAUCGGAUCACUUGUAGAAUAUCAUAUGGAAGGAAAACAUGAGGUACAAGUAAGGUGCAUUGAUUUUGACAGCAAAGCAGAAAAAAUUUUAGACAUCGCAGGUGGAAUUGUUGCGAAAUUAAAUGGCGAUGCGAUGAUGAUAAGUGGGUGGUCGCUGGGAUUCAAUAUCCCGGAGUGGGUCCGGUAUAAAAGUAAUGGCUCCUCUGUAACGAUAGAUUUGGAUGGUAUUACGAAUCCGGAGAUGGGGUGUGCUCUCUUUAUUGUUUGUGAUUCUGAUGAAUUCUAUCCCCUUGAUGAAGAUACUUCAAUUUCUUUGUUAUUCAAGAAAUGCAUUGAUUUUUCAACGGUGCGUCUUGACUUAUUGUUUAGGAGGGAUGAAGAAGAAUAUUGGGAAGAAUGUUCUUUUAGAUACUAUUAUAUGCCUCCUCUCUUGGACGGUUGUUUAACUAAGGGAAUUGGAUUCUGGGUGUAUAUACCGGCAGUUUUGCAGUUUUUGCAGUUUUUGAAUAUACGAAGGAGGUUCAUUAAGAUUUCAUUUCAAGCAUGCUUGUUUGAUGAAUUAGGUCUUGAUCCAUUGAUAGAAGUGAAAGAAUGCGGGGUGCAUUUAGUAUGUCCAGAUGAUGGUGCCAAGUCAGAGUUCUUUAAUAGCAUUGCUCCUUUUCGCCGUUCGGUAUCUUCAGAUUCAGAUUCAAAUUCAGAUUUCCAUCGUCUAUAUAGUGCUGUUAUUGGAAAGAAAAAGGAAACGGGAUUUGGAAAUUUCCAUAUUAGGCGAGCGAGCUCAGUGGAGCUAUUUCAUCUACUAUUCAGAGAGAUGUGCAGAAUGUUUGAGAAUCUUAAACUAUAAAAUCCUCAAAUAAUGUUCUCUGCUAUUAAUUUGCAGUGGAUUUAAAAUUACCAUUUACCAAGAAGGCUUUUUGUUUGUUUUUUUUUUUUAAUUCUGGAUAGCUUUUUAUUCUGAAACAGUACGUGAAUUAUGCUCCUUUCUGUUGGUGUUUAUAAGUUUAUUGUGCAUUAGAAUUUCAAUGUUCUAUAGUUUCUUGUGCUUCAAAGUAUCACGAGAUGUGUAUCUUAAUUUGCAAAAUACUUCUACUAUUAGGAAUUAGCUUUGCGGUCUUAAGUGUUCUCUUGAAGAGGAUUGGAAAGUAGUACGUGAAAAUCAAGAUCCCCUGAAAUUCUAAUAUUUUGCUUACCAUAUUAAUUAAUUUGUAUUUAAUUUCCAGAGCUAGUAGUUUUCUUUUCUUUUCUCCCCAAAUGAGAAUAAUUGGAAUUGAUUCUAUGCCAAUUACGUGUUAUUUUUCUUGAGCGGGUGGUUGUAAUAUUUGUUAUAACUUGUUUCUACGUACCUCUGAUAAAGGUAAAAAAGUGUCUUUGAAAGGAAGUUAUGAAGUGGCAGACAUGGUAUUGUUGUAAUGUCUAUUAAAAUGAGGGAAAAUCAACAGUUUUUGAGUGCAAGUUGCGCCCAGAGUAUCUUAUAGUUACUUUGUUCGUAGAGCAGCAAAAAAUUAAACAAAUCAGCAUUUGUUGCGCUGUGGAUAUUCCAUUAUUUGGUGCUUUGAGAUUAUGAAGUACUUGCCAUGCUGACCUAAUUAUUCUCUUCACUCCAAAGGAAAAUUUUCAUGCUGAUUAUUUCCUUUUUUUUUUUUUUUAAAGGCAUUUUUUUUUCUUCUUGGUUCAAAGGGUUUACCUUUCUAUUGUCACCGUUACAAAAUUUCUAUUUUAUUUUUCUUCCUUGAGGUCAGUUUGUGUCUUAGUUGAACGUAAUGUAUAUUCAUAAUUUGCCACGACCCAACUCCUUUCACCUCAGUUUGCUUUCGUGCUUGUAGGAUGCUAGGCGAAAUGAUGUUGAUCUCAGCCAGUAUAAGGGGAAGAUGCUCUUGAUGGUCAAUGUCGCAUCGCAAUGGUGGAUGUGAAUGGUAAAGAAGCUGCUCCGUUGUACAAGUUCUUGAAGUCUAGCAAAGGUGGGCCUAUUUGGAGACAAUAUAAAGUGGAAUUUUUCUAAAUUCCUGGUUGAUAAAGAUGGGAAUGUUGUUGACCGUUAUGCAAAGGUGGCCAUAGAAAAAAUGAAGCCAUAGCUUGUUUUGUAAUGGACUUUUGUUUUUGUACUGGACUUUUGCAUUUGUAUUGGACAUGCCACUAAGUAAUUAUUCCAACAUAUUUUGGUGUAUUGAGAAGUUGUACAUAUGUCUUUCUCGAACUUUGUUGGAGCUUGGAGUUGUAAAUAUGUGUAGCUCUAGUUUUGGUAAUUUGAAAAGUUCUACUAGACUUUUGCAUCUAGUUGAAGUUUCAGUCAAAUUACAAAGUCCAAGAAAUGAUACUGUCAACUAUGAUUUCCGGUUU